rnacentral:rRNA from 1 species
GAGUAGCUAGUUGGUGAGGUAAUGGCUCACCAAGGCUACGAUCCGUAACUGGGCUGAGAGGAUGAUCAGUCACACUGGAACUGACCCAGGUUCAACUCUUCUACGGGAGGCAGCAGUGGGGAAUAUUGGACAAUGGGCGAAAGCCUGAUCCAGCCAUGCCGCGUGUGUGAAGAAGGUCUUCGGAUUGUAAAGCACUUUAAGUUGGGAGGAAGGGCAGUUACCUAAUACGUGACUGUCUUGACGUUACCGACAGAAUAAGCACCGGCUAACUCUGUGCCAGCAGCCGCGGUAAUACAGAGGGUGCAAGCGUUAAUCGGAAUUACUGGGCGUAAAGCGCGCGUAGGUGGUUUGUUAAGUUGAAUGUGAAAUCCCCGGGCUCAACCUGGGAACUGCAUCCAAAACUGGCAAGCUAGAGUAUGGUAGAGGGUAGUGGAAUUUCCUGUGUAGCGGUGAAAUGCGUAGAUAUAGGAAGGAACACCAGUGGCGAAGGCGACUACCUGGACUGAUACUGACACUGAGGUGCGAAAGCGUGGGGAGCAAACAGGAUUAGAUACCCUGGUAGUCCACGCCGUAAACGAUGUCAACUAGCCGUUGGGAGUCCUUGAACUCUUAGUGGCGCAGCUAACGCAUUAAGUUGACCGCCUGGGGAGUACGGCCGCAAGGUUAAAACUCAAUUGAAUUGACCGGGGGCCCGCACAGCCGUGGAAGCCAUGUGGCUUAAUUCGAAGCACGCCGAAGAACCUUUACCAGCCCUUGACAUCCCAAUGAAACUUUUCAAAGAAUAGAAUUGGUGCUUUCGGAACAUUGGAAACAGGUGCCUUGCCAUGCCUUGUUCGUCAAGCUU